CGUACACUCCUGCGGGAGGCAGCAGUGGGGAAUAUUGCACAAUGGGCGCAAGCCUGAUGCAGCCAUGCCGCGUGUAUGAAGAAGGCCUUCGGGUUGUAAAGUACUUUCAGCGGGGAGGAAGGCGAUAAGGUUAAUAACCUUGUCGAUUGACGUUACCCGCAGAAGAAGCACCGGCUAACUCCGUGCCAGCAGCCGCGGUAAUACGGAGGGUGCAAGCGUUAAUCGGAAUUACUGGGCGUAAAGCGCACGCAGGCGGUCUGUCAAGUCGGAUGUGAAAUCCCCGGGCUCAACCUGGGAACUGCAUUCGAAACUGGCAGGCUAGAGUCUUGUAGAGGGGGGUAGAAUUCCAGGUGUAGCGGUGAAAUGCGUAGAGAUCUGGAGGAAUACCGGUGGCGAAGGCGGCCCCCUGGACAAAGACUGACGCUCAGGUGCGAAAGCGUGGGGAGCAAACAGGAUUAGAUACCCGAGUAGUCCCAU
rnacentral:rRNA from 1 species